rnacentral:rRNA from 1 species
UACGUAGGGGGCAAGCGUUGUCCGGAAUCAUUGGGCGUAAAGCGCGUGUAGGCGGCCUGGUAAGUCCGUUCUGAAAGCCCUGGGCUCAACCUGGGAAUGGCAUUGGAAACUGGCGACCUAGAGUGCGGUAGAGGGUAGUGGAAUUCCCGGUGUAGCAGUGAAAUGCGUAGAGAUCGGGAGGAACAUCCGUGGCGAAGGCGACUACCUGGACCAGCACUGACACUGAGGCACGAAAGCGUGGGGAGCAAACAGG